GACGAACGCUGGCGGCGUGCUUAACACAUGCAAGUCGAACGGAAAGGCCCUGCUUUUGUGGGGUGCUCGAGUGGCGAACGGGUGAGUAACACGUGAGUAACCUGCCCUUGACUUUGGGAUAACUUCAGGAAACUGGGGCUAAUACCGGAUAGGAGCUCCUGCUGCAUGGUGGGGGUUGGAAAGUUUCGGCGGUUGAGGAUGGACUCGCGGCUUAUCAGCUUGUUGGUGGGGUAGUGGCUUACCAAGGCUUUGACGGGUAGCCGGCCUGAGAGGGUGACCGGCCACAUUGGGACUGAGAUACGGCCCAGACUCCUACGGGAGGCAGCAGUGGGGAAUAUUGCACAAUGGGCGGAAGCCUGAUGCAGCAACGCCGCGUGCGGGAUGACGGCCUUCGGGUUGUAAACCGCUUUCGCCUGUGACGAAGCGUGAGUGACGGUAAUGGGUAAAGAAGCACCGGCUAACUACGU
rnacentral:rRNA from 1 species